rnacentral:tRNA from 1 species
UGGCUCAGUUGGUAGAGCAUGGUGUUUGCAAUGCCGAGGUUGUGGGUUCGAUUCCCAU